UUUGUUUGAAGACCUAAUAUUAAUAAUAUCGAUAUACCAAUUAGAAUAAUAUCAUCACGGUAUUUAAAAUAACCUAAACACAUUAUCACAUAAUCCUAUUCGUCUAUAACACACAUAAGACUUAACCUCAAGUCAAACUUUUACAGUCUGAGUCGAGUUCGGCAAAAUUCUAACAUCUCGACGGUCUAGUCGGAUAAAUAUCGAGUUUAAGUUCAAUUAAACUCUGUCUAAACACUUACCCAUUGUUUAAGAUAAUUUAUUAACUGUCAAAAUAUUUUUCGUAAGCUCGUAAAAAUUUUCAGAUAAUUAUUAUCAUUUAUCAUGAAUUUUUAAUCAUUAAUAACGUAUUUAAAUGAAUUAAAUAUCACUUAAUUCCUUUA
rnacentral:lncRNA from 1 species